ACAAUUUGCUCAAGGACAGGUGCUCCAAAAGCCUAACAGGGAAGACGGUGUAAAUCCGUCGCGGUCCCGCCGCUGUAACCGGUGACAAUGGCCACACGAUGCCACUUUUCGUAAACACGGAAGGGAAGGCGUGGCCGGAGAUAUGACCCGGAAGCCAGAAGACCUGCCUGUCCUGCCCACGUGCU
rnacentral:ncRNA from 2 species